UACGUAGGGUGCGAGCGUUGUCCGGAAUUACUGGGCGUAAAGCGUGCGCAGGCGGUUAUAUAAGACAGUUGUGAAAUCCCCGGGCUCAACCUGGGAACUGCAUCUGUGACUGUAUAGCUAGAGUACGGGUAGAGGGGGAUGGAAUUCCGCGUGUAGCAGUGAAAUGCGUAGAUAUGCGGAGGAACACCGAUGGCGAAGGCAAUCCCCUGGACCUGUACUGACGCUCAUGCACGAAAGCGUGGGGAGCAAACAGG
rnacentral:rRNA from 1 species